CGUGCUUAACACAUGCAAGUCGAACGGUGAACACGGAGCUUGCUCUGUGGGAUCAGUGGCGAACGGGUGAGUAACACGUGAGCAACCUGCCCCUGACUCUGGGAUAAGCGCUGGAAACGGCGUCUAAUACUGGAUAUGUGACGUGACCGCAUGGUCUGCGUUUGGAAAGAUUUUUCGGUUGGGGAGGGGCUCGCGGCCUAUCAGCUUGUUGGUGAGGUAAUGGCUCACCAAGGCGUCGACGGGUAGCCGGCCUGAGAGGGUGACCGGCCACACUGGGACUGAGACACGGCCCAGACUCCUACGGGAGGCAGCAGUGGGGAAUAUUGCACAAUGGGCGAAAGCCUGAUGCAGCAACGCCGCGUGAGGGAUGACGGCCUUCGGGUUGUAAACCUCUUUUAGCAGGGAAGAAGCGAAAGUGACGGUACCUGCAGAAAAAGCGCCGGCUAACUACGUGCCAGCAGCCGCGGUAAUACGUAGGGCGCAAGCGUUAUCCGGAAUUAUUGGGCGUAAAGAGCUCGUAGGCGGUUUGUCGCGUCUGCUGUGAAAUCCCGAGGCUCAACCUCGGGCCUGCAGUGGGUACGGGCAGACUAGAGUGCGGUAGGGGAGAUUGGAAUUCCUGGUGUAGCGGUGGAAUGCGCAGAUAUCAGGAGGAACACCGAUGGCGAAGGCAGAUCUCUGGGCCGUAACUGACGCUGAGGAGCGAAAGGGUGGGGAGCAAACAGGCUUAGAUACCCUGGUAGUCCACCCCGUAAACGUUGGGAACUAGUUGUGGGGUCCAUUCCACGGAUUCCGUGACGCAGCUAACGCAUUAAGUUCCCCGCCUGGGGAGUACGGCCGCAAGGCUAAAACUCAAAGGAAUUGACGGGGACCCGCACAAGCGGCGGAGCAUGCGGAUUAAUUCGAUGC
rnacentral:rRNA from 1 species